rnacentral:misc_RNA from 1 species
GGACUCUGUCGUGUUACAACGACUGGUCUGAAAUGCCUGAGUGCACCCUGCUGUUGCAGCGUCUUCAGUGUGAUAAGCAUCUUCACUGAUUCAAGCUCCUUCGGGACACGUAGCAUUGUGGGCUCUGUGCUGACAAACCGUCUUUGGACAAUCUUUGACAAUUUGACCUCAAAUCGGGUGGGACUACCCGCUGAACUUAA